rnacentral:rRNA from 1 species
UACGGAGGGUGCAAGCGUUAUUCGGAUUUAUUGGGCGUAAAGAGCGUGUAGGCGGUUGGGUUAGUCAGAUGUGAAAUCCUUCUGCUCAACGGAAGAAGUACGUCUGAAACUGCCUAACUUGAGUACGAGAGAGGAAAGUGGAAUUCCCAGUGUAGAGGUGAAAUUCGUAGAUAUUGGGAGGAACACCUGUGGCGAAGGCGACUUUCUGGAUCGAUACUGACGCUGAGACGCGAAAGCGUGGGGAGCAAACAGG